rnacentral:lncRNA from 1 species
CACAGAAGCACUCUGUUGUGCUGCGGAUGGCAAGGAAGGCGUUGUUCCUUCAGGCGGACCAAGAACUCGGGCAUGGCUGUGAUCAGCGGAAGUGAUUCUGUGCUUCUGAGCAAUGGCAGCAUCUCCACCAGCACUACCAACCCUAGUCCCCUCACCCCCAGUGAUGGAGACCUCACAGCUCAGCAGCUCGCACCCAGAGAAACCCCGAGGACAAAAGCAAGUCCAAAUGGAUGCCUGCAACUUAAUGGCACAGUUAAGUCAUCCUUUCUGCCUUUAGACAACCAAAGAACGCCUCAGACAGCUCUGUGCUGCCACCCUUGUCCAUACCAUCACCCUGUGACCAGCCAUACCAGUCA